rnacentral:rRNA from 1 species
UACAGAGGGGGCAAGCGUUGUUCGGAAUUACUGGGCGUAAAGGGCGCGUAGGCGGCCUGUUAAGUCGAACGUGAAAUCCCUAGGCUCAACCUAGGAACUGCGUCCGAUACUGGCAGGCUUGAAUCCGGGAGAGGGAUGCGGAAUUCCAGGUGUAGCGGUGAAAUGCGUAGAUAUCUGGAGGAACACCGGUGGCGAAGGCGGCAUCCUGGACCGGCAUUAACGCUGAGGCGCGAAAGCCAGGGGAGCAAACGGG